rnacentral:rRNA from 1 species
CCUACGGGAGGCAGCAGUGGGGAAUUUUGGACAAUGGGCGCAAGCCUGAUCCAGCCAUGCCGCGUGCGGGAAGAAGGCCUUCGGGUUGUAAACCGCUUUUGUCAGGGAAGAAAUCCUUUGGGCUAAUACCUCGGAGGGAUGACGGUACCUGAAGAAUAAGCACCGGCUAACUACGUGCCAGCAGCCGCGGUAAUACGUAGGGUGCGAGCGUUAAUCGGAAUUACUGGGCGUAAAGCGUGCGCAGGCGGUUAUGCAAGACAGAUGUGAAAUCCCCGGGCUUAACCUGGGAACUGCAUUUGUGACUGCAUAGCUCGAGUACGGCAGAGGGGGAUGGAAUUCCGCGUGUAGCAGUGAAAUGCGUAGAUAUGCGGAGGAACACCGAUGGCGAAGGCAAUCCCCUGGGCCUGUACUGACGCUCAUGCACGAAAGCGUGGGGAGCAAACAGGAUUAGAUACCCUGGUAGUCCACGCCCUAAACGAUGUCAACUGGUUGUUGGACGGCUUGCUGUUCAGUAACGAAGCUAACGCGUGAAGUUGACCGCCUGGGGGAGGACGGCGCGAGUAGUAAAGUAAGUAGAGUAGACGNGNGAGAGNGACGAGACGACGACGAGGGAGGAGG